rnacentral:rRNA from 1 species
CGGGUGAGUAAUACAUCGGAACGUGUCUUCUAGUGGGGGAUAACUGCCCGAAAGGGCAGCUAAUACCGCAUGAGACCUGAGGGUGAAAGCGGGGGAUCGCAAGACCUCGCGCUGGAAGAGCGGCAGAUGUCCGAUUAGCUAGUUGGUGAGGUAAAGGCUCACCAAGGCGACGAUCGGUAGCUGGUCUGGGAGGACGACCAGCCACACUGGGACUGAGACACGGCCCAG